rnacentral:miRNA from 1 species
UAGAUCUCCAACGAACCGAAU